rnacentral:lncRNA from 1 species
GUUGUCACGUUAGGCUCCAGAUGAUCUAGUGUUGUCACGUUAGGCUCCAGAUGAUCUAGUGUUGUCACGUUAGGCUCCAGAUGAUCUAGUGUUGUCACGUUAGGCUCCAGAUGAUCUAGUGUUGUCACACGUUAGGCUCCAGAUGAUCUAGUGUUGUCACACGUUAGGCUCCAGAUGAUCUAGUGUUGUCACACGUUAGGCUCCAGAUGAUCUAGUGUUGUCACGUUAGGCUCCAGAUGAUCUAGUGUUGUCACAUGUUAGGCUCCAGAUGAUCUAGUGUUGUCACACGUUAGGCUCCAGAUGAUCUAGUGUUGUCACGUUAGGCUCCAGAUGAUCUAGUGUUGUCAAAUCUAGUGAAUGCACCAAUUUGUAAGUCGCUCUGGAUAAGAGCGUCUGCUAAAUUACUUAAAUGUUAAAUGUAAAUGUAAUGUGUGCAAGUCCAGAGGACCCCUGGAAUAAGGCGUGCAGGGUCAGAGGACCCCUGGAAUAAGGCGUGCGGGGCCAGAGGACCCCUGGAAUGAGGCGUGCAGGGUCAGAGGACCCCUGGAAUAAGGAGUGCGGGGCCAGAGGACCCCUGGAAUGAGGCGUGCGGGGUCAGAGGACCCCUGGAAUAAGGCAUGCAUGGCCAGAGGACCACUGGAAUAAGGCGUGCAGGGUCAGAGGACCCCUGGAAUAAGGCGUGCAGGGUCAGAGGACCCCUGGAAUAAGGCGUGCAGGGCCAGAGGACCCCUGGAAUAAGGCUUGCAGGGUCAGAGGACGCCUGGAAUAAGACGUGCAAGGUCAGAGGACCCCUGGAAUAAGGCGUGCAGGGUCAGAGGACCACUGGAAUAAGGCGUGCAGGGUCAGAGGACCCCUGGAAUAAGGCUUGCAGGUCCAGAGGACCCCUGGAAUAAGGAGUGCGGGGCCAGAGGACCCCUGGAAUGAGGCGUGCGGGGUCAGAGGACCCCUGGAAUAAGGCUUGCAUGGCCAGAGGACCACUGGAAUAAGGCGUGCAGGGUCAGAGGACCCCUGGAAUAAGGCUUGCAGGUCCAGAGGACCCCUGGAAUAAGACGUGCAGGGUCAGAGGACCCCUGGAAUAAGGUGUGCAGGGUCAAAGGACCCCUGGAAUAAGGCGUGCAGGGCCAGAGGACCACUGGAAUAAGGCAUGCAGGACCAGAGGACCCCUGGAAUAAGGCUUUCCGGGUCAGAGGACCCCUGGAAUAAGGCUUGCAGGGUCAGAGGACCCCUGGAAUAAGGCGUGCAGGGCCAGAGGAUCACUGGAAAAGACGUGCAGGGUCAGAGGACCCCUGGAAUAAGACGUGCAGGGCCAGAGGACCCCUGUGGCAAGGCAGCAGGACUUGACCCCUCACUGUGGAUUCCUUCCUCUUCCAAUUGCCUGAUGUGAUAAUCUGGCCUGGCUGUAAGGGGAGGACCCCUGGAAUAAGGCGUGCAGGGUCAGAGGACCCCUGGAAUAAGGAGUGCGGGGCCAGAGGACCCCUGGAAUGAGGCGUGCGGGGUCAGAGGACCCCUGGAAUAAGGCUUGCAUGGCCAGAGGACCACUGGAAUAAGGCGUGCAGGGUCAGAGGACCCCUGGAAUAAGGCUUGCAGGUCCAGAGGACCCCUGGAAUAAGACGUGCAGGGUCAGAGGACCCCUGGAAUAAGGUGUGCAGGGUCAGAGUACCCCUGGAAUAAGGCGUGCAGGACCAGAGGACCCCUGGAAUAAGGCUUGCAGGGUCAGAGGACCCCUGGAAUAAGGCUUGCAGGGUCAGAGGACCCCUGGAAUAAGGCGUGCAGGGCCAGAGGACCCCUGGAAUAAGGCGUGCAGGGCCAGAGGAUCACUGGAAAAGACGUGCAGGGUCAGAGGACCCCUGGAAUAAGAUGUGCAGGGCCAGAGGACCCCUGUGGCAAGGCAGCAGGACUUGACCCCUCACUGUGGAUUCCUUCCUGUUCCAAUUGCCUGAUGUGAUAAUCUGGCCUGGCUGUAAGGCACCAGUGCACUCCGUAAAUGCUGUAGCCAUAAAAAUAUAAUUACUAGAAUGGACAAAGCCCCUCAGACUGGAUGUCCAUUCGAGUAAUGAUUUUUCUAUGGUUGUAUUUCUGUCUCUGUAGCAUUCUGGUUCUGCCCAUGGACCAUUCCCAUCACAGACUGUUGACUUGAAUGGGAAUGCCCAUUUAAGUCAUUAUAUUAUAUUAUACCGUAUCUGUAGCUCUGUAUCUCUACCAUGGUAUGAACCCUUCUAAGAAGCACUAGCCUGAGCCUUUUUCAGGGAAACCUAAUAAAAAGCAGCUGCAGGAAUCUGAUGUGUCGUCGUCUGGUAACAAACAUCCCCACAUCUGGUUUUAUCAUGGCAGAUGGUCCCCCGUCCUCCUCCUCAUCCCUCCUCCACCUCGUCUUCCUCCUCUCUAACAUUUCAAAAUGGGUUCUUUCUUUCCCAUCAGUUACUUUUUCCACAAUGUGAAAAGUCUCUUUACUUCUUCAGUUUGCUUGUGGAGAAGAAACUCCAAUUGUAUCCAUCCAAACUGUACAAAACAAUCUAAUACCUUCAAACAUUUUUACAUUUUAGUCAUUUAGCAGACGCUCUUAUCCAGAGCAACUUACAGUAGUGAAUGCAUACAUUUCAAACAUUUUUUUUCUUCCCCUUACUGGUCCCCCGUGGGAAUCGAACCCACAACCCUGGCGUUGCAAACACCAUGCUCUACCAACUGAGCCACACAGUUUAUAAGUUACAGGUAUAUAAGUUACAGAUUAACUACCUUAUACUUUAUGGGUAAACUAAAAUAUUAGAUGUUAGACUCAAUCCAUUUUGUCCUCUCUGCAGGCCUAUGUGUAUGGCAUCUGUAGAAAGUUAACAUUUUAGAUAUACCCAUAUGACCCUUGACCCUUAUUCUCCUCUCUGCAGGUGUAACCCCUCAAUUCUUGAGUCUCGCUACUUUGCAGGACUGUUACACACGCGCGCACACACACACACACACACACACACACACACAGAGAGAGAGAGAGACGCACACACAUACAGUCGUGUAAAAUACUUAAAUCGUUUUUUGGGGUGUCUGUACUUUACUUUACAAUUCAGGCGAGUACCCUGUUUAUUGUAGUCUGGCAAUAAAGCAUACAACGUGUUUUCAAGUUAGAAUCAAAGGAUUAUGAAUUGACAUUCCUCCACCUCUGUCUUCGCCAUAAUCAUAAAUGAAAGGAGCAAAUAAUGGCUAUAGUAACACAAUGUGAUCGUAUAGUUUUACAGAGAAUACUUUCAGUACACACAUCACCAGAACCCAUUUUCUAUUUUUUCAGUAACACAACAAAGGCUCAAAAUGAAAAAUCAGAGCUAGGUAGCAUGAUAAAAAAAUUAACAUUUCUAACACUGUAAAUAAAAUACAUCAUACCUGGCAAUAAAGCACAAAAUGUAGGCGUUCAAGUUAGAAUCAGACCAUUAUGAAUUGACAUUCCUCCAGCUCAUGUACAUGAAAAUAUAAUACAGUCAAAACUCUGUCUUGACCGCUUGUGGUAACAUUAGCCAUUUCACACCUCUUUAGCUAGCAAAGUAAACAUUCAGAAUGUUUGUUUAGUGCCAAGUAGUUAGCUAGCAUCACGAUACAAAAUAAAUCAAGAAACUGAUAUAUUAAAUAUCUGAGAUAGUCUGAUCUCCAGUUUGUUCCAUAUACAUUCAUAAGGCACUUCAUACAGUUAGAGGAUUAUGGCAUGUUAUAUCACAAAAACGAGCGGAGCUCAACUUUCUACAUACCGUCUUCGCCAUUAUCAUAAAUGAAAGGAAACUCAAAUAUGGCAACAACGGUGAACUUCACACCAGACCAAUAACAGCUUGAAUAGAGACAUAACAUCUUGGAAGUUAUUCCCAUUAGCCACAGGAAGUAGGGGUGCUGAGGGUGCUGCAGAUGAUCUAGUGAUAAUAAUACAAAAAAGUUAUAAAAAAAAAAAGAAUUGUGCACUGGGCCUUUAAUAGUCCAGUAUUAGCAGACCAAUAUAGCUGUCUGUAGCAAGGUAGAAGUCAGAGCAUGAUGGUAAUACAUUAACCAG